AUUAGCGGAUGACUUGUGGCUGGGGGUGAAAGGCCAAUCAAACCGGGAGAUAGCUGGUUCUCCCCGAAAGCUAUUUAGGUAGCGCCUCGUGAAUUCAUCUCCGGGGGUAGAGCACUGUUUCGGCAAGGGGGUCAUCCCGACUUACCAACCCGAUGCAAACUGCGAAUACCGGAGAAUGUUAUCACGGGAGACACACGGCGGGUGCUAACGUCCGUCGUGAAGAGGGAAACAACCCAGACCGCCAGCUAAGGUCCCAAAGUCAUGGUUAAGUGGGAAACGAUGUGGGAAGGCCCAGACAGCCAGGAUGUUGGCUUAGAAGCAGCCAUCAUUUAAAGAAAGCGUAAUAGCUCACUGGUCGAGUCGGCCUGCGCGGAAGAUGUAACGGGGCUAAACCAUGCACCGAAGCUGCGGCAGCGACGCUUAUGCGUUGUUGGGUA
rnacentral:rRNA from 1 species